CCCCCGGGGCGGGGGGCUUCCCCGAGAGCAGGACGGGGCCACUCCCGCCGCCGCCGCCUCCGGACUCGGCCAGCGUCGGCAGGCGGCCCCCGAGAGGGGGAGCCAAGAUUGAUUCCAGCUUCAUGUACAGAUAACAGUCUGACUCUUCCGCAUUGGCUGCAAGGAUUCUCCAUAGUGUGAAGAACAGUGCACUGGAGUGGAAAUGAAGCUCUCUUCUCUACGUUGAUAGAUGUAGAUGUCAAUUUUUAUUUCAUGGCUGGCCUGUGAGUGCCCCAAUUGGAGAACAGCCUGUCAUGGGCUCUGAAGAUGCUUGAACUCAGGACGAAAGGGAGAAACGUGCUAAGAGGAAGGCACACU